AGAUCUAAACCAGGCCAGAACUUGUCCAUGUAGACCAAUUUGGGUUUCCAAUCUCUCCAAAAGAAUGUGGUGAUCAACGGUAUCAAAGGCAGCACUAAAGAUCUGUUGAUGCAGUGUUUGGUAGUUUUGUUACUGAAACACAAUGUAUUCCUGUAUAGUUAAAUGAGCCCCUAGUUAAGAAGACUAGACACUACUAUGUUUAUUGUUAUUUAUUCUCACUUUAGUCUUUCAUCACACUUAUCUUCAGAGAUGGUGUUAAAGCACUCCGUACCAGUGAUAGUGGUCCAAAGCCACUACUCCUGUGUUGCAGGAAGUGUUAUGUGUAUGCAGACCAUGGAGAUGAAGAGGGGGCUAGCCAUGGAGCCAGUGGCUGUAUAGGAGUACUGCACACUGAAGAAUGUUAACUUCUUUCCGUGUGGCUUCGUAGUGCACCCAAAUGCUCCGUGGUUAGGAUCCUCUCCAGAUGGAAUCAUAUUUGAUCCCAGUGUAAGACCACACUUUGGACUCUUAGAGGUCAAGUGCCCAAAUGUACCAAGUUAUGUUGACUGCCCUUACCUGAAGAUACAGAAUGGAGAGCUGAAGUUGAGAUCUCAUGCUUACUACUGGCAGGUGCAAGGUCAAAUCCUUCUCACAGGUUGUAGCUGGUGUGACUUUGUCAGCUGUGCACAGGAGGACAUCCUAGUUGAAAGGAUAUAUUAAGAUCUACAGGUUUCAAAAACUAUAAGAGAGAAGGUUGACCACUUUUAUUUUUACCACUACUUGCAGAAGUGUCUCUCGCACCUGAAUGGAUCCCCUGCAUGGGUGCCAUAUUUAGUGGUUUUAUGAAAAGUCCGUACAGUGAGAUCCAACCAGAGGUGUGUCUUCUACGUGGAGGGGACCCGCUGCUCUAACCAUUUUAUCCCAAUGACACGACACUGCAUCUGUUGUAUCCGUCAUAGAUCAUACUAUGAUCCAUCAUGGGUUGAUUUUAAAAUGUGCACGAGUACAAUAACUUACAUGGACUUAUGCCGGUCCACAUGGGCCAGUCUGAGGAGCCUCGCUGCCUCCUGCAUCUCUGCCUGCCGCCCCCCAUGUACCAGCCUGAACAGCAAACAACCCUGGCCCCAGAGCAGCUAGAUGCAGUACUACCCAGAGACAUGUACCUGAGUGCUGCAGCGUUACAGCCCACGGAGAGCCUGCCACUAGAGCUCAGCGACGUCCUAAGUCCAUUCUGACGUGUCACACAGCCUUGGCCCUGGAGAACCAGGCUAUCAGGGCCAUUGCUGAGGCCCCAAAGGACUUCCUGACCGGGGCUGAGCUGGACACGACGACUCGGCUGACAUGGAGCUCUGUGAGAGAGAGAUGGUCUAUAGAGGACCAGAUUGUCAUGGAGGUGAUGGGGAACCUACAGAAAACUCAACAGAACUGGACCAUGUUGCUGCAGAUGAGAAGAUAUUUACCUCAACCUAUGUUCUAAAGUGGAUUAAAUAAAUGUUUUUCCUCAUCAAUCUACACACAAUACCCCAUAAUGACGAAGAAAAUACAGUUUAAAA